rnacentral:lncRNA from 1 species
AUGCUGCUUUUCAUCCUUCUGCCCAAGGAGAAUAAAUGUUUGUGCAAACCUUUUUUCAUGUGGCUGCCCAGAAAUGACCCGAGUGAAGCCAAGAAGUUGAACAUUAAGCAACCUCGCCCUGGUGAUGCUGCUGAAAUGAGAGCCUUCAGAAUGCAUCCUCUGACACUGUGUGACACAGCCCAGCUGUAAAUUUUCUUGCCUGAAGAUUUGUCACUCUACAUUAUUCCUGCAGUAAACACACACA